GCUUGCCAGGCGUUUUUCAAGCAUUGACAACUUUUCUGCCUUAUUUACCGAGACACUCAACUCGGUAUGCUCCCAAUCCUAUCGUAUCAAGUAGAUGAAUACAAUUUUCUUCCACACAUGAAGAAUUUUCGAGGUAAGUUGAAAUCUGUAAGAGUUGGGGUGGCACUUACUUCAUUGUUUUU